GCGCCCAUAGCUCAAUUGGAUAGAGCUGCGGACUUCGGAUCCGCGGGUUGCAGGUUCAACUCCUGCUGGGCGCGCCA
rnacentral:tRNA from 1 species